rnacentral:rRNA from 1 species
UACAGAGGUCCCAAGCGUUGUCCGGAAUCACUGGGCGUAAAGCGCGCGCAGGCGGCGAUCUACGUCUGGGGUGAAAGCCCGGAGCUCAACUCCGGGACUGCCUUGGAUACGGGAUCGCUUGAGGAUUGGAGAGGCAAGGGGAAUUCCACGUGUAGCGGUGAAAUGCGUAGAGAUGUGGAGGAACACCUGUGGCGAAGGCGCCUUGCUGGCCAAUUACUGACGCUGAGGCGCGAAAGCGUGGGGAGCAAACAGG